AUGCUUAACACAUGCAAGUCGAACGGUAACAUUUCUAGCUUGCUAGAAGAUGACGAGUGGCGGACGGGUGAGUAAUGCUUGGGAACUUGCCUUUGCGAGGGGGAUAACAGUUGGAAACGACUGCUAAUACCGCAUAAUGUCUUCGGACCAAACGGGGCUUAGGCUCCGGCGCAAAGAGAGGCCCAAGUGAGAUUAGCUAGUUGGUAAGGUAACGGCUUACCAAGGCGACGAUCUCUAGCUGUUCUGAGAGGAAGAUCAGCCACACCGGGACUGAGACACGGCCCGGACUCCUACGGGAGGCAGCAGUGGGGAAUCUUGGACAAUGGGGGCAACCCUGAUCCAGCCAUGCCGCGUGUGUGAAGAAGGCCUUCGGGUUGUAAAGCACUUUCAGUAGGGAGGAAGGCUUACCGCUAAUAACGGUGAGUACUUGACGUUACCUACAGAAGAAGCACCGGCUAAUUUCGUGCCAGCAGCCGCGGUAAUACGAAAGGUGCGAGCGUUAAUCGGAAUUACUGGGCGUAAAGCGCGCGUAGGCGGUUUGUUAAGUCAGAUGUGAAAGCCCCGGGCUCAACCUGGGAAUUGCAUUUGAAACUGGCAGGCUAGAGUGCAGUAGAGGGAGGUGGAAUUUCCGGUGUAGCGGUGAAAUGCGUAGAGAUCGGAAGGAACACCAGUGG
rnacentral:rRNA from 1 species